UCCAUUUCCUGGUUUGUGUUCUUUUCCUCA
rnacentral:piRNA from 1 species